AAGCAGCGAGUAUUUAGCUGGAUGUUAGUCGCUCGGUGUCAGUUGGUGAUUCCUAGUGGACAGGCAGAAGAUGACGACAAUGUCAGCAAAGGAAGAGGAUUGAGAAGGAAGGCCUGAGAGGUAGGCAAAGUGGCUUGGUGGAUGGAGUAGCUGAAACAUUUGGCAUCUGUGGAAGAUACAAGGGGAGAACCUGUCCAUGGUCCUGAAUGGAAGGAUCCCUGCCUGAAGCCCUGGAGAGCCACUGCUAUUGAGGGUAGACAAUACUGAACCAGAUGGAACAUAUGUAAGACACCUUCCUAGUACUCUCCUCUCUGAACUCAUUAGACAACUUUGAUUCUGGAAGCAGAUGUUGAUUCAUUCAUAAUUCAGUGAUGAAAACUCAUACCGAAAAAAACCAAGCAGAGCGACACUCAAAGCUGCAGACAGCCAAUAUGAAGCAAUUUCAUUCAGCUCAGUGGACACAACACAGAUGGUGCUUUUCAGAUUGAAUGGGGUGAUCAGAUGUCCCUUUGCAUUGAAGUCACAUGUGAAAAACGAGGCUUCUAACACAUUCAUUCAUGUUUCGAAGGGAAAUAAAGCACUCUCGAUAAUCAGAA